CUCAUCAGCAAGUUUUCAUCCAUAGGUGGUCCCCGGAUCCCCCAUCCUAUAAGAGGGCAGCAUUCAGAUCACUUUUUAAGAGAGCCAUGACAUAUUGCGCUGACCCGUACAACUUUAAUGAAGAAAUCAACUACAUAUAUAAUGCUGGUUACCGCCAUGGAUAUUCAAAAUCAUUUUUUAGAGCAAUUUAUGACCAAAUAGGAGAUUCAGGGACAACAGAACAAAGGAUAACCACACAACCAGCGAAUGUUACCAGCCAACAACACCUUAUAUAUCUCUUCGAUAUGCCUUAAGAAACAUAAAAGUAAUGAAACAAAUAACGAAAGCUACAAGCAAAAACCAGCAUACAGGCGGAACCAAACUAUUUUCCAUGUUUUAAGGAAAGAGAAGAGAUGCAGAAAAGA
rnacentral:lncRNA from 1 species